GAUGAACGCUAGCGAUAGGCUUAACACAUGCAAGUCGAGGGGCAGCACAAGGUAGCUUGCUAUCUGGGUGGCGACCGGCGCACGGGUGCGUAACGCGUAUGCAACUUGCCCUAUACGGGAGGAUAACCCGUCGAAAGACGGACUAAUACUGCGUAUGCUCACAACUUGGCAUCAAGUGGUGAGGAAAGAAAUUCGGUAUAGGAUAGGCAUGCGUCCCAUUAGCUUGUUGGUGAGGUAACGGCUCACCAAGGCAACGAUGGGUAGGGGAACUGAGAGGUUUAUCCCCCACACUGGUACUGAGACACGGACCAGACUCCUACGGGAGGCAGCAGUGAGGAAUAUUGGUCAAUGGGCGCGAGCCUGAACCAGCCAAGUCGCGUGAAGGAUGACUGUCUUAUGGAUUGUAAACUUCUUUUAUACGGGAAUAACAAGAGUCACGUGUGACUCCCUGCAUGUACCGUAUGAAUAAGCAUCGGCUAACUCCGUG
rnacentral:rRNA from 1 species